GCCUUGGUAGCUCAGUCGGUAGAGCAGAGGACUGAAAAUCCUCGUGUCGGUGGUUCGAUUCCGCCCCAAGGCA
rfam:Lutispora thermophila DSM 19022 genome assembly, contig: EJ66DRAFT_scaffold00009.9